UCUAAGGAGGAGAAGUCUAAUGAACGACCUUCAGAACAGGACGCGAAUUUAAGAAUCGCUUGGCAAUAUAAGAAGUACUUUGGGGAACAAACAGAGGUCCAAAGAGGUGGGAAAGCUGAAUAUUGCAACGACUUUGACUUACGAAAGCCCCUAGAAAGGCACUUCUAUAGUGGACAGCGGGUUGAUUGCAUUAGUCUUCGAGAUUCUCCUAAUCUAGUGCCUCUACUUGAACGAUGCUCAACCUUUUCAGCUCAAAUAUCAAAAUCUGAUGGCAACAUCACAUGUGCCG
rnacentral:misc_RNA from 1 species